GACAGGUGCUGCAUGGCUGUCGUCAGCUCGUGUCGUGAGAUGUUGGGUUAAGUCCCGCUAACGAGCGCAACCCCUAUCCUCAGUUGCCAUCAUUAAGUUGGGCACUCUGUGGAGACUGCCGUGUUAAACCGGAGAAGUGGGGAUGACGUCAAGUCCUCAUGGCCCUUAUGACCAGGGCUACACACGUGCUACAAUGGCCGGUACAAAGAGUUGCAAUACCGCGAGGUGGAGCUAAUCUCAUAAAGCCGGUCUCAGUUCGGAUUGGAGUCUGCAACUCGACUCCAUGAAGUUGGAAUCGCUAGUAAUCGCGGAUCAGCACGCCGCGGUCGAAUACGUUCCCGGGCCUU
rnacentral:rRNA from 1 species